UUUCCUCUCUCUCUCUCUACCAUUGAAGAUUGAGUUUCCUGUUCGUGUUUUGUUCUUUAGCUCCCUUUUCAUUGAUCAACUUAAGGUUAAGGGUGCUUUGGGAAACUAGCUUGGUUGGAGAAGAAUGAGAUCUUUGCAAGCUUAUCUCAAUUCAUGAUCUGGUGAAUGUAUUCUACAAUUUCUUUAAAUAAAGGUAAAGACGUGGUGAUCCUGCCAAGUUGAGAGUGCGGAUAAUUGCAAAGAGUACAUAGCUCUUAUUUUUGUUAUGAUAUUUUUGUAAAGCCAAGGGCUAAUGUGUAUGGGUCCGAGAGACCAUUUUGGUGUAACCAGGCUAUUUCCUUGGAAUUUAUAAGCCCUUAAGGGCAUUUUAUUGUUUGAGAAUAGAUGCUCUGCAUGUGAAACUUUUGUGUAAUCUCAUUUAUCA